UUUGCAAUGCCUUUCAGCCAUGGUGUGGUUUAUGGCAGAUUUUUCACAUUUUCUUGAUGGUUUUGAUGAGAUUGUGCAUGCCACACUGGAUAACUACGAAGCAGAUAUAAAUCUUGUAGAUGACGGUGAAAGGGGGAGCCAGAUCACAAUUGGGUUGAUGAAGCAGUUAGAUGUGAAGCAAGG